CAAUAGCGUAUAUUAAAGUUGUUGCAGUUAAAAAGCUCGUAGUUGAAUUUCUGGGCGGCCCGCCGGUCUUCCAUGUGUUGUACUGGGCGGCGCCGGCCAUCCUUGUGGAGAGGGCUCGCAUUUGGUUGCGUGUCGGAUCUGCAUCAUUUACUGUGAAAAAAUUAGAGUGUUUAAAGCAGGCUGUCGCUUGAAUACAUUAGCAUGGAAUAAUAAGAUAGGACUUCGGUCUAUUUUGUUGGUUGCGAACCGAGGUAAUGAUUAAUAGGGAUAGUUGGGGGUAUUCAUAUUUAAUUGUCAGAGGUGAAAUUCUUGGAUUUAUGAAAGAUGAACAACUGCGAAAGCAAUUACCAAGGAUGUUUUCAUUAA
rnacentral:rRNA from 1 species